rnacentral:rRNA from 1 species
AUUGAACGCUGGCGGCAGGCCUAACACAUGCAAGUCGAGCGAGCGGCGGACGGGUGAGUAAUGUCUGGGAAACUGCCUGAGGGAGGGGGAUAACUACUGGAAACGGUAGUCAAUACCGCAUACCAUCAGAUGUGCCCAGAUGGGAUUAGCUAGUGGGUGGGGUAACGGCUCACCCAGGCGACGAUCCCUAGCUGGUCUGAGAGGUUGACCAGCCACACUGGAACGGAGACACGGUCCAGACUCCUACGGGAGGCAGCAGUGGGGAAUAUUGGACAAUGGGGGCAAGCCUGAUGCAGCCAUGCCGCGUGUGUGAAGAAGGCCUUCGGGUUGUAAAGCUCUUUAAGCGGGGAGGCGUUACCCGCAGAAGAAGCACCGGCUAACUCCGUGCCAGCAGCCGCGGUAAUUC